GACGUGGGGCGCGAGCGUUGUCCGGAUUUAUUGGGCGUAAAGAGCUCGUAGGCGGCUUGUCGCGUCGUCCGUGAAAACCUGCGGCUCAACUGCAGGCUGGCGGUCGAUACGGGCAGGCUGGAGUUCGGUAGGGGAGACUGGAAUUCCUGGUGUAGCGGUGAAAUGCGCAGAUAUCAGGAAGAACACCCGUGGCUAAGGCGGUUCUCUAGUACGGUACUGACGCUGAGACGCGAAAGCGUGGGGAGCGAACAGG
rnacentral:rRNA from 1 species